rnacentral:rRNA from 1 species
UACGGGGGGGGCAAGCGUUGUUCGGAAUUACUGGGCGUAAAGGGCUCGUAGGCGGCCAACUAAUUCAUACGUGAAAUCCCUCGGCUUAACCGGGGAACUGCGUCUGAUACUGGAUGGCUUGAGUUCGGGAGAGGGAUGCGGAAUUCCAGGUGUAGCGGUGAAAUGCGUAGAUAUCUGGAGGAACACCGGUGGCGAAGGCGGCAUCCUGGACCGAUACUGACGCUGAGGAGCGAAAGCCAGGGGAGCAAACGGG